AGAUGAAGUUGAUGAAAGUAUUCUGAGUGACCAGUGAUGGAUGAUACAUGUGAUCAUAAUUCAAAUACUCUUAGCUACGUUCUUUUUAGUUCAUAA